UAAUUUCUAUUUCCAGCCUUUGUGGCUGAAAGUCUUUUUAAAAAGGAGUCAUUUCCUUGAGCAUAAGCACAGCCUACAGGAACAGACAGCGGCGCCUCCCCAUGUGGAUGGAGAAGAUGCGGGGAGUUGACACUCUGAAUGUGAGUGGGCCCCACAUCAGGCCAAGGAGUGAUGAGGUGAGGAGAGCAACCCGGGGGAGAUGUGAUAGAAAGAGGACCUGGGCCGCAGGCUUCUCGUUAGCUCAUUCUGCGUGAUUUGGACCACUCAGCUCUGAGCAGUCUAGAUGUAGAUAUGAAGAUCUAUGGAAACACCACCGAUUUCCAGAGGUUUGGACAGCAGUUGAUCAGUUCCUCUUAUAUCUGGUGUCCUUCAAAAUACAUCCAAAGAUACAAAAGUGCAGUAGCAUUACCAAAGGAAACUACUAGUGAAAAUGUCACUGAUCUUUGGCAGAAAUGGCCCCAACUGCAAAACAGGUGGAUCAUAUGGAAGAAGGUGUAAUAUGCAGGCAUGCCUAAACUUUGGAAACUCAAUACAGUAGAGUCAUACUGGAUACAGGACAGCUGGGCAGCAGAAAUGUUUCAGGGCAGGCACCCACCCACCUGCUCGCAAGCUUCAGAUCUGAGAAAAAGGCAUUCUAGUAGCACCAGGUAGACAGGCAGAGGACAUGGACUUUGCACAGACCAACACUGGGUAUAGAAAAUCUUUGUUCAAAAAUCAGUAAAAAGAAAUUUUUAGAUAGAUCAAAUAUAGAUAUUUGAUGUAGGGGUCUAUGAGGAGAAGCACUAGCAUAAAAGAAAGGAUCCACUGUCCUGUAGAUGCACUGGGAAUAUACCCUACAAAGGAGGACACUCAUAGUAUAAUUUUGUCAUUAAGAGCAGGGGUGGAGGAGGUUGGAAGUCAGAUUUCUGGACUAAAAUCCUAAGUUGUUCAUGUAUUGGUUAUUUGCCUGUUGGGACUCCAAUUUCUCAUCUAUGAAAUGAAGAGGAUAACAGCACCACAUGUUAUGAAGAUUAAAUAAGUUAAUAUAUACAUCAUGCCCUGGAUAAGGUAAGGGCACACUGCUUGCUGUCACUGUCACCACCAUCACCAUUACAUGAAGCUCUGUAGCUAAGGAAGCCCACGUUCUCUUAGAAUGUCAAGGAAGCGUGGAAUUUAUAAAAUAAGAGAUUACAAAAUUAGAGGAGCAGGGAUCUGGCCACGGUGUGAAAAGGCAGCUGACAGAGAAGAAAUUCAUGUAAGAAAAUAAACACGAAUAUCUGAGUAAAUGAAAAUGUGCAUUUAAGUCAAUGACAACACAGAAUGGACAGUGUGUAACAAAAGCUGGUGCUGAGGAAAAGCCGCAGAUCAUUUAUAAGAGAACAACAAGCAAGUAAAAUAGAUCAGAUUGAUCAAACUGAUAAUCCUAUAUCUAACAAAUCCACUCGUCCCUAAGAAACCAGAAAGGAACACAAAACAAAGCAAAAAUAGAUAUGUAAUAGCACAUCUCUGCGAUGCUAGAACAGUUUUCUCUCCUCAAUAUAGACUUUUUAAUAGUUGUGAAAACAGAAGGCCACCUUCUUGUUGAUGUAGGUGUAUAUACACACACAUACAUAAACCCCCAUGUGCAUAUGUAUAUACACAACUACAUGAAUAUUACAAUUAGUGGGAUCUUAAAAUAGAAAAAAAAAGUUCAGUAAACACUUUCUUGAACUAAGAAAAACCAGCCAAUAGGAAAGAGUCACCUGUGUUCCAGAAAAGAAUAUGAAGCAUAAAGAGACACAUAACUACACACAUUCCAAGAUUUUUUAAAUGUCAAGACUAAAGCAAAAUAGUCUCAUCAAACACGAGACUGGGAAUAUUGCUAGCUCUUAACACUUUACUUCUGUUAAAAGGGAAGAGAUCUGAGGGACAGGUGAAAAAAACCUACUUUAUUACAAUUGGAUGAUGGGUUUCCUUUUGUCAAAUUUUACUAAUCUUUAGGCAUAGAUUUGAAAUAUUUUACAUUUAAUGAGAGCAGGUCUGCCUUGCUCAGACUUUUCUUUCUCAACUUGUAAACUCCAGGAAAAAAAAAACAAAGUCAAACUUUUUUCUGAAGGAAAUAGUUGGUUUCUCAAGAAUUCUGUACACAGCCAGAUGGCUUUCAGAUUUUAAGGCAACAGUAAGUCUUGCCUAGAUAUGCAAGAUCUCUGAAAAUAUAUCACCCAUGUACUAGUUUUAAAAUUUUAUGCAAAUUGAUUCCAGUUAUAAGCGAGAUGAAUCAAAGGCAAAACCUGAAGCCUGGGAAUGUCAAGGUGUAAAAGGGCUGUGAUAAGCAAUUAAACAAGCUAACCCCAUAGAAUUACAUUCAAAUCACAGCUGUAAAUAAAGUUGCAAAACCAAACGUGAAUGUUAAAAACACUUUCUGAAAGAAAAUCUUCUUUCUGUAGCAAGUAACAAUUUAGUGAUAAAAAUUAUGAAGCAGUAAUAACUAGGGUCUGGAAUUCUCUACCAUAAAAGGAUUAGCCAGGAAGUUAAUUUCUCAUCAUACAGGAGGGUGGAAUGAAAAUAAUGAUUCUUCACUUGUGUCAUUAGAGUGAAUAAAGCUUUUCUACACUCCAGAAAUGUACCUUCCUCAUCACUGGGAAGAAUAAAGCAUGCAUGCAUGAAUGAAUGAAUGAAUAAAUAAAUACAUACACACGUACAAACAAAAUUAAGCAAACAGGUACAUAAAUAUGAAAUGUAUAAAAUAAUAUGACAGAAGUUUGCCCACACAUUUUGGCUAAGACAGACAAUCGAUGUGUGAACAAGGUUUAAAGCCCCCUUUAAAAAUGAAGACUCAAAGAACUGGUUUCAAAAAUUCAACUAUAAACUUGUAAAGGGAAGCAAGAGGACAGAAAAAUGUUAAAAAUGACAAAAAUACAAAAGCUAAUAUAUACCAGGAAGCUACACAUAAAAAGAAAGCAGAGGUGGCAAUGAUAAUUGAAAGUAGAUUUGAACUAAAGAGAAACGUCAAAUGAGAAAGAGCAUCACUUUCAUUACGAAAAGUUAAAAUCCUUCAAGAAAUUAUCCAACACAUAGGUGACAAUUCUGGUAGCAUUUCACUAAAUCAAACAUUUAGAAAUAAAGAAAUGGGAAAAUCCAAAA